rnacentral:lncRNA from 1 species
AAACUAAUGGUAAGUGGAACGAAGCGUUUAAAUAUCAAGGGCACCGUGCUGGGCAUUUUCCUUGUGGCUUUUCAUAAAAUUAAGAUGAAAGGGAAAUUUAUAAUCAAAGGACUGUAGUCCUGCUCAUUAUUUUAAAGUGAAACAUGCCUUCAACAUACCAAAUGGUAUUAGUGAUAAAUGACUUUGGCUGAAUUAUUUGGGUGUAAAUUUUUCUAAUUUUAUUGAUGACCCACACUGAACGGCUUGAAGGCAUGCAAGACAUGACCUUAUUGAAGCAAAUACGCUCACAGGCAGAGAAGGACUGUAAUGUCGAACUAGGUUUUAACACAGAUGAAGCGUUCCUUGUACCUCUGGGCUGGAUUGUUACUUUUGAUAUUCUGCAAAUGUACUUCUUUUAAGAUUAAUAUAAAUAUAUGUGAAUGUGUGUGUGUAUGUGUGUUUAUAUAUAUACAUAAGAUCGUAAUGUAUAUUUUGAUCAAAAGAAUAGGAGAAAGGUGCAUACUGGAGUUCCCCGGUGGCUCAGCAGGUUAAGGAUCCAGCAUGGUCCCUUCUGUGGUGAAGGUCACUGCUGCGGCGAAGGUGCUAUCCCUGGUCCAGGGAACUUCCAUGUCCCUGCAGGGGUGGCAAAAAAAAAAAAAAAAAGAGUGAGAGUAUUCUAAUGUCUAAAGCUAAUUUUUAUGAUUUUUUGAACUGGGCAUAUUCAGACUUGCUAUCUCCUUUUAUGUCCCUGAGAACCACUGAAUCUACUUCAGAUGAAUUGGUCAAAGCCUCACAGAAUGACACAGAUUCCCAGGCCUCAGUGACCCCGGCUGAUCAUCUCAUUUUAUACUUGGAUAAACAGAAGCUCCCGCCAGUGGAAUGACCCAGAAUUGGGCUGCAAGAUCCCAGACCCCCGGCCCCAACACCAGCACAGGGCUUUUUCAGUUAGUAUAUCUCACUGUUCCAUGGUAUAACUUUUCUUUGUGUUUUUUCCUCUCUGAUGUGAAAUUGAACAUCAUUGGAAGUAGAAGAUUCUGUCCCAAACUAGGGGAUUUUUAGAUUAGAGUUAACAUUGUUCUUCGGGUGGCCGCACUGUGACCCAUUGUCUUUUCCUUGGCAGUGUGACCUCCCUUACUUUCUUUUAUGACAUAAAGUUGACUGAAAGGACAGAUGAAAACAUUAGCUUCUGGAAUAAUCCCUUCUGUUCGUUAAAAAAUGUACACCACGCCUUGUGUCUUAGGUUUUAAAGCUCUGUCUCAUCUGGGAAGCCAUGCUGUAUACUUUUGGAGAAAGGAGAGUGAAAAACACUAGACUGUUCUCAGCCAUAACUAAAAAGGCACGGUUUUCAGAUCAAUAUUCAAGCUUCUGAUGCAUCCACAUUUCUUUACCCAAGGCAUUCACUUAGAAAGUAUAUCAAUUGGUUGUAUUCUGGAAACUGAACCAUUUCUAUGCUCUUAAUAGUUUUUUUUUUAAUGUCUUAGUUUUGUUAGGAGCUAAUUUUGAAAAACUGUAGAAAAAUAAAAAGGAUGGAGUUCCCAUUGUAGCUCAAUAGGUUAAGAACCCGAUAUAGUGUCCGUGAGGAUGUGGGUUCGAUCCCUGGCCUCAUUCAGUGGGUUGAGGAUCCCACACUGCUGUGGCUGUGGAGUAGGCUGCAGCUCUGAUUCAACCCCUAGCCCGGGAACUUCCAUAUGCUGCAUGUGCAGCCAUAAAAAUAAUAAUAUUAAUAAAUACAUAUAUGAAAAAGGACUUUUUCCUGCAUGCCCUUAGGGCAGGAAGGGAUGUCUUUGCUCCAAGGGACUGGGAGCUGAUGUAGCAGCAGGCUUAGAUUGGCUUCAGGUCCUACGACAGCCAGAGAGGCCCAGGCAGAGCCUGGCGCUCAGGAAACAUGCAGAGUGGGGAGAUGUAGGUAUGGUCCCCUCCACUGAGAUCCUCCCAGUCCCUGGCCCAAGGAGGUUCCCAGGAUACUGUAGCCCCAGAGAACAUCAGAAAAGUACCGUAAGCACCUGUCAUGCAAAUUCAAACUUGCCUGUUGCUCUGUUCAACCUUGAUUACUCAACCCGCCAUUGUGAAAAUUCUCUCCUCUUUUGGAAGCUCUUCAGCCCUUGGCUCCAUCUCAGCCACUGCAUGUCGUCGCCAGUUCCCUUGGCAAGUGGGUGGCCACUUACUGCCAGGCCAGCAGGCUCCCGAGACGGUCUCAGGGGGCUGGCAGCAGCUCAGCAGUCUCUCCUGAGCUUCUUUCAGGCUAUGUAGUAGGUAGAUUACCCGCAAACUCAGACACCCAGGGACAGGCACAGCCCUGGUCAAGAGAGACUAAAAUUCAUUGUGAUCCAGUGACUGCUCAGGGGCCUGUGUGCCUCCACAGAAAUGGAGUCUGGAGCCUGGUAUAUCUUCGCAGUGUCUUUCUAUCAUAGCUAAUGUAUCCAGCCUCUCUCAUGGUCCACAGAGUGUUAUCUUAACUGCCUAGAUGGUGAGGCACAGAGAUUUCAUGAUGGGUGUGGCACUGUCUGGAUGGUAAGCAGUGUGGGAGUGAGCAAUAUAAGCCUCCACCAACAGAAACUGGCAGUUUCAUACCUCGUGAUGGACAGUCUCAACCACCUCUGCCUGGAGGACCAGAGCAAGUUUGUUCCUCCAUUGGUAACUCCCUGGUUACUCUUUGUUCUUCGUGCAUUUGAGUUUUUGCAAGUCUUUGGUCUUGCAAAUUGCUUGUGUUGCUUAAAAAAUCACUUCCAUGCUGGACAUAACCGGAUUAUACUUCUCUCAAAGAGGAUAAAAGCAAUGCCCCACGUUCAAAUUUAGGACCUUGCCUCCAAAUAUGGCUUCAGAUCCCCAAGGUUGUGUGCUGAUUAAGGACCAUUGAUAGAUCAGGUCCCUGCCCUGCACACAACCUAGGACAAGGGUUAUACAGACCAGCUUCAACCAGGAGAUUAAAUAUGAGGAUGCCGUCGGCAGUGGGUGUGACGUACACGUGCAUUUGCUGGGGGGAAGUAGACAGUUCUUGGCUAUGUAGUCCUGCAUCUGUAUCUUCACCACCCAGGAGAAGCAAACCAUCCCCUAUCUCCAGUCACUUGCCCCCAUCCCCUAUCUCCAGUCAAGUCAUCUGAACGAAGUACUUACUCUGCUCUUUCUGCAGAAAACACAAAGAACACACACUCUUGACUCAUGAGGGUCAACAUAUAAUUGAGAGACAAGAGAUGCGUACACGAAACAUUCAGAGAACAAAGUAAUGUAUAAAUGAGUAUCAGACGGCAUGGUUCAGGUGUGAAAUGGAAUAGCGAUUCUAAAGUCAGGGAAGUUUGAGAAGGGUUUUUUUUUUUCCCCUGGGGCCACAGCUGUGAUCUAAGUCACAGCUGUGGCAAAGCCAGAUACUUAACCCUCUGUGCCUGGCCAGAGACUGAACUUGCAUCCCAGGGCACCCAAGACCCCGCCAACCCCUUUACACCACAUCAGGAACUCCUAGAGGAGAUUUUAUGAAGGAAAUGGGUCGAGAAGGAUGGAUAGGAUUUUUAAAGAGAGGUGGAUGGGCAUCCAGGUGAAGGAGGUGGUAUUGAGAGAAUGCUGGGAUUCCAGAAACACUUUUGGUGCUGGGACAGCACUGAGUGAUUGAGCAGGAAAUGGAGGUGAGGGACCAGGGAGAGAGAGAGCUGACCAGAUCCUAAACAGCCCUGAAGGCCAAGCAGAGGAAUCAGGACUCCAGAGCCAUGGAAAGCAUGGGAGCAGACAAAUGGCAUGAUAAAAGCUGUGUUUAAAGAAAGUUCAUCUGUCUAGGAGAUUGGGUUCUGAAGAUUCUGGAGGCCAGUUAGAAAGCUGUUACGGGACCUAAACAUGAGAUGAUAGUGGUUCCAGGCCAGGAUGGUACAAGUUGAACUGGGAGAAAGAAGCCUAUUUCUAAGGAAAAAAUAUGAAACUGUAUUUGAUGAUGGGAUCCUGCAGAGGGUAAAUGACAUCAAGUUAGACAUGGUGGCUCUCUUGAGUAAAUCACCAUCUAUCUCUACUCAGGAUUAAAGAGGAAUCCUAAUAUGUCUGCUUAGAUCUAUUUCCAAAGCCAGCCGACGUUUCUGACACCUCCUUCCCUGUUCCUUAAGUUACCCAAAUCUUUUCUAGAAAAUUCUCCAGGCACCAGUAUCCAUCCUAAGAGCUCAGGCCAAAACUUCUCUUCUAUGCAACACUCCUGCCAUCUUGGACAUUUUUCCCCCUCAAAGGUCUUCCUCUCUCACAGCUGUUUGCAUGACAUUGUGGGUAAAUUUCUCAAGUUCUCCUUCUUAGCUCCUGGUUGCGGAACAUGAAACACUUUUAUGUCUCUCGUACUCACCAUCUUAGUGUAUUUCUUGUUAGUUUGCUCCUCACAUCUCUGGCUUUUAUUGUCGUUGUUGUUGUUGCCUUUUUAUUUUUUUAAUUUACUUUUAUUAGGGUAUCAUUGAUUUACAGUGUUGAGUCAAUUUCUGCUGUGCAGCAUAAUGACCCAGGCAUAUAGAUAUAUAUACAUUCUUUUUCUCAUAUUAUCUUCUAUCAUGGUCUAUCCCAAGAGACUGGACAUAGUUCCCUGUGCUGUACAGUAGGACCUCAUUGCUUAUCCUUACUAAAUGUAAUACAUUGCAUCUACCAAGCCCAAACUCCCAGUCCAACCCACUUCUUCUCCCCCCACCCCACCCCCGCCCCCCAUCCUUGGCAACCAUAAGUCUGUUCUCUGUGUCGGUGAGUCUGUUUCUGUUCUGUAGAUAGGUUCAUUGGUGCCAUAUUUUAGAUUCCACGUGUAAGUAAUAUCAUAUGGUAUUUUUCUUUCUCUCUCUGACUUACUUCGACUCUGGCAUUAUUCGCAUCAGUUUGCCCACUGAAAUUUGGUUACCUGGCAGCAUCCUUUGCUUUAGAUGACCAAUUUUGCCGUUCUACGCACCACUGUAUUUGACUUAAACUAUCUUACAUGUGCAGGAGAAAAAGGUUCACAGUUCGCCUGAGAGUUUGCAAGGGGAAACAAGUUAUGACAACAAGUACCCAAGUGAAGAAAAAUCAAGGGGUUGCAGAUUUAGACUUGUCAGUCCUAGGCAGGUUCCAAGGGUAAUUUUGAAUCAUAAAAGGUGGAGGAUUUUAAGGGACCGUACAUGUGUUCUGUUUCACCUGCAGAGUAUGGGGUGGGGGGUGCUGCACCUGUGGCAUGCAGAGGUUCCCCAGCCAGAGAUCAAACCCACACCACCACAGUGACAAUGCCAAGUCCUUAACCACUAGGCCACCAGGGAACUCCUACAGAGUAUUUUUUAAUAGUUUUUUUUCUUUUCAUCUUAAACCCACAUUUAAAAUUCUGAAGAUUUUACAUAAAAAUCUAGAAACAUAUUUCCUUGAAAAAGAAUCAGAAGAUGUAGCAAUAAAUGGCUGGAGCUGAGUAUUGCUGUUCCCUGUGGAUGGUGUACCCAUCCCCCUCUUCCCCACACUUUCAAGAACUUAUCAGGACCUCUGGACAUUUGACGUCUUUUUCUAGUUAGUUAUGACUCUGAUCUAACCAGUCUCUCAUUUUACAGAAAGAGAAACUGAGGCACAGAGAGGUUAAGUAACUUUUGCAAUCUUACCCAAAAGAUUGGUGGCAAUACAGAGACUAGAACUGAGCUUUGCUGGAGUUCCCGUUGUGGCUCAGUGGUAACAAACCCAAAUGGUAUCCAUGAGGAUGUAAGUUUAACCCCUAGUUCCUUUCAGUGGGUUAAGGAUCUGGUGUGGCCGUGAGCUGUGGUGUAGGUCAUGGACAAAGCUUGGAUCUGGCAUUGCUGUGACUGUGGUGUAGGCAAGGAAUUAUGGCUCCAAUUCAACCCCUAGCUUGGGAAUUUCCAUAUGCCGUGGGUGUGGCCCUAAA